rnacentral:rRNA from 1 species
GGUGAGGUGCCUUCCGAGUUCCCUGGAACGGGACGCCUAGAGGGUGAGAGCCCCGUCUGGUUGGACGCCGAUUCUCUGUAAAGCUCCUUCGACGAGUCGAGUAGUUUGGGAAUGCUGCUCUAAAUGGGAGGUAUAUGUCUUCUAAAGCUAAAUACCGGCCAGAGACCGAUUGCGCACAAGUAGAGUGAUCGAAAGAUGAAAAGAACUUUGAAAAGAGAGUUAAACAGUACGUGAAAUUGUUGAAAGGGAAGCGCUUGUGACCAGACUUGGGCUUGGUUGAUCAUCCGGGGUUCUCCCCGGUGCACUCUUCCGGCUCAGGCCAGCGGCAGUUCGCCCUGGGGGAUAAAGGCUUCGGGAAUGUGGCUCUCUCCGGGGAGUGUUAUAGCCCGCUGCGUAAUACCCUG